ACGACGUCGUUAAACUCGAGAAAGCCACGUGGACCACAGAGAACUCUUCAAAGGUGUAUGGGCAGGCUCACUCAGACAUUGCAGCAUUCAAUCUGUUCAUCGCACACUAAACAGAAAACAAACAAACAAUUUUUGUCUCCUUCUUUGAUUUCUGAUCAUCAAGAGAAGAGUCUUAGGGUUUUAAUGUUGUUUCUUUGCUAAUCAGUGCAACAAAAAUUAACUGGAGCACUGCUUGGUUAAAAUGUAAUGUUGCCAACGGUUAACGGGGAAACCUUCAAGUCGCUUCUCCUUGCUAUAAAACGUGGAAUUUUGCAUCCGGUUGC